GUGCAGAGCCCCUCACUCCUGACCCGGAUGCUCCCCAAUUGUCCACUUGGCUUUUAUAUCCCGCAGAGGUGCAAUGUCUUCGUAGGUGGCAGUUUGUUCGAUCUCUAAGCCCUGUGCAAAGAAGAGGGAGACUGAGGAGGAAACAUUCCCAGGGACCCGGGUCAGCCCUGAGAUACGCCCAGGUGCCUGCUGCGCAAGCCGAGCUUCGGGCGGAACUGGGAACUCAGUGUGAUGUUAGCUGGCAGAAGAGCUUUACCAAAGCUGACUCCUCGCCUCCAGCCCCAGCCCUCCCUCCCGCCCAUCUCCAAGGCUGGCCUGGCCGUGCCAUCUUCAGGCUCAUUCCCAGGGAUAUAAUGGAUUGGUGCCUUUUUUGCUUCUUCAUGAUUUACAGAGAACCUGACAGGGUUUAUUUGUUUCCCUCUGUUUAUUUUAGACAGAAAUUCAGGCCUUGUCUACCCUGGCAGACUGUGGAUGAUCGGAGAACUAGUGGCAUUAUGACGGCUCCGAAGUCUGAGAGGGGAAAGGAUUUCGAGGCAGGCUGUUUGAAACGCUCAGGAGAAGCUCGAGUCUCUGGGCUUGCAACUGGUGCUGCAAGAGCCAGGCCUGGGGCCGUUUCCAGAACCCACUUGGCGGCUUGCCUGAGUCAAUGGAAAUGCAGCUGGCGGCCAGCGCUUACCUCCGAUGGAGAGGAUGACCACCACAAAGUCGAAGAUAUUCCAGCCAAUGGUGAAGUAGUAAUAGCGCAAGGCGAACAUUUUGAGCAAGCACUCGCCCGUGAAGAUGACGAUGAAAAUCAUGUUGAUAUUGUAGAGGAUGUUGAUUUUGGUUGGGCUUUGGUCAUCUGUUUCAGCCAUCAUGGUCACCAUGUUAAGACAAAUCAGGACCAUGAUGAUGAUGUCAAAAGCUUGCUUUGUCACACAGUCAAACACCAGCCCCUGACAUUUGUUCUUUAAUACAUGGAACGAGGGUGAAGAUGAAGGCAGAAGGACAAGCCAGGAGGUGGAAUGGACAGACAGGGCACAGCAGAGAAUGAAGACAAAAACGGAAAGAGAAAGAGAGAAACAGUGUUUAGAAGAGGACAGAGACCCAUCUGUCUUAUCCCUUGUGCAGUGUGAUCAUGCAACAAGGAUGUGGGCCCAGAGCCUCCCAUGAGAGUUAGGCACCUAAAUAUCUUUGAGGAUCUGGGCCGUGCUGCCUGGAAUGCUGUGGGCCCCUCACCUGCUGCUGAGUCAGUGGGUGUUGCAAGAUGGAGCCUAGCUGGCACAUGUCUCAUAUGUUACGAUGUAAUAAUGACAUGUCUCCCAAGCGCCAGGCUCAAUGACUGGGCCUCCCCACGAGGGAUCGUUAUUGAACCCUAAUUAAUGCCAGUUGCUUAUCAUGGCAAAAAUGGGAAAGGUUAUGGGGAGGGAAUGUCUUUUACUGGACCAAGUUGUGUGGUGAAAGAGAGAAGCUUUCGAGCUACGGAGCUGGGACACUCGCAGGACCUUUCCCAGGCUCUGUGUGGCUCCGAAAGCUUGUUACAAGCUGGACCACUAAAAGACAAUCCCCCCCCCCACCUUGUCUCUCUAAUAUCCUGGGACUGACAUGGCUACAGCAGCACUGCAAACAGCAUUUGAGUUGUACCUGUUCAAAAAAGUCAAAGUCACAAUCGUCUAAUUCUUAACCACCCCCAUUUUCUAUUCUAGGACCGUUAACAGCUGCCAGGAAUAGGGAAAAGCUGAGGAUUUUCAAAAGAGCUGGGUCAGACCUACGGUCCAUCUAGCCCAGUAUCCUGUCUCCAAGAGCAACCACUAAAGAGCUUCACGGGGAGUGCACAGAACAGGCCAAUUUUGGAGAGAUCCACUCCUUGUCUUCCCCUCCUAGCUUCUGCCACUCAGAGGUUUAGGGAGACCCAGGGCAUGGUAAUAAAAAAAAGGUAAUAAUUGGAGCUAUACCAAUCUCCUAGAACGAGAAGGGACCUUGAAAGGUCAUCGAGUCCAGCCCCUGCCUUCACUAGCAGGACCAAUUUUUUUUGCCCCAGAUCCCUAAGU